UACGUAGGGUGCAAGCGUUAUCCGGAAUUAUUGGGCGUAAAGGGCGCGUAGGCGGUGCGGUAAGUCACCUGUGAAAUCUCCUGGCUCAACUGGGAGCUUGCAGGCGAAACUGCCGUGCUGGAGUGUGGGAGAGGUGAGUGGAAUUCCCGGUGUAGCGGUGAAAUGCGUAGAUAUCGAGAGGAACACCUGUGGCGAAAGCGGCUCACUGGACCACAACUGACGCUGAGGCGCGAAAGCUAGGGGAGCAAACAGG
rnacentral:rRNA from 1 species